rnacentral:lncRNA from 1 species
UGAUAUAUAGAACUAAUUAGUCUAAUAAUUGACAAAUCAAAAUCAUUCACUAUCAUGCCAAAUUUACUGUAAACAUAAUCUGCCUAGAUACAUGCUCCUAACCAAUCACUUGUAUUUCUACAAGCUUUAGAGCCUUUAGAUAAGAAAAAAUAAAAAUAAAAGCAUGAAAUAAAAACAUAAAUAUCCUACAUUACCCCCCACACUUUAGAUAGCACAUUGUCCCUAAUGUGCAGCACUUAAGUAUAUAGGAAAGAAGUUACUUGAUUGAUCGUGACAUUGUUGCAACCUUAUAGUGGGUUUCUCAUUCCCUUUUCAUUAAAACUUGUAAGUG